AAAUUGAAGAGUUUGAUCAUGGCUCAGAUUGAACGCUGGCGGCAGGCCUAACACAUGCAAGUCGAACGGUAACAGGAAGCGCUUGCUGCUUCGCUGACGAGUGGCGGACGGGUGAGUAAUGUCUGGGAAACUGCCUGAUGGAGGGGGGUAACUACUGGAAACGGUAGCUAAUACCGCAUAACGUCGCAAGACCAAAGAGGGGGACCUUCGGGCCUCUUGCCAUCGGAUGUGCCCAGAUGGGAUUAGCUUGUUGGUGGGGUAACGGCUCACC
rnacentral:rRNA from 1 species